rnacentral:rRNA from 1 species
GCAAGUCGAGGGGUAACGAUUUCUUCGGACAGUCGACGACCGGCGCACGGGUGCGUAACUCGUAUGCAACCUACCUUUAACAGGAAGAUAGCCCCGAGAAAUCGGUAUUAAUACUCCAUAACACUAAGAAGUGGCAUCACUUUUUAUUUAAAGCUCCGGCGGUUAAAGAUGGGCAUGCGUGACAUUAGAUAGUUGGUGAGGUAACGGCUCACCAAGACAGCGAUGUAUAGGGGUUCUGAGAGGAUUAAC